CAGCCGUAAGCUAUGCGCGUUAGGUGUAUCGGUGACCACGAGUUACCGAGGUGCCGAAGGGAAACCGUGAAACGUGCCGCCUGGGAAGUACGGUCGCAAGGCUGAAACUUAAAGGAAUUGGCGGGGGAGCACCACAACAGGUGGAGCCUGCGGUUUAAUUGGAUUCAACACCGGAAACUCACCAGUGAAGACUGUUACAUGAAAGCCAGGCUGAUGACCUUGCUAGAUUUUCAGAGAGGAGGUGCAUAGCGUAGACGUCU
rnacentral:rRNA from 1 species